rnacentral:rRNA from 1 species
UACGGGGGGGGCAAGCGUUGUUCGGAAUUACUGGGCGUAAAGGGCUCGUAGGCGGCCAACUAAGUCAGACGUGAAAUCCCUCGGCUUAACCGGGGAACUGCGUCUGAUACUGGUUGGCUUGAAUCCGGGAGAGGGAUGUGGAAUUCCAGGUGUAGCGGUGAAAUGCGUAGAUAUCUGGAGGAACACCGGUGGCGAAGGCGGCAUCCUGGACCGACACUGACGCUGAGGAGCGAAAGCCAGGGGAGCAAACGGG